GAGUUUGAUCUUGGCUCAGAUUGAACGCUGGCGGCAUGCCUUACACAUGCAAGUCGAACGGCAGCAUGAUCUAGCUUGCUAGAUUGAUGGCGAGUGGCGAACGGGUGAGUAAUACAUCGGAACGUGCCCUGUAGUGGGGAGUAACUAGUCGAAAGAUUAGCUAAUACCGCAUACGACCUGAGGGUGGAAAGUAGGGGGACCGGCAAGGCCUCAUGCUAUAGGAGCGGCCGAUGUCUGAUUAGCUAGUUGGUGGGGUAAAGGGCCCACCAAGGCGACGAUCAGUAGCUGGUCUGAGAGGACGAUCAGCCACACUGGGACUGAGACACGGCCCAGACUCCUACCGGGAGGCAG
rnacentral:rRNA from 1 species